GCCCAAGUCAAAACACGAAAGCGUUUCCAUUUUGUCCAGGUAAUGCCAGUGCUGUCACAAGGAAGUAAGAAAUCAUUUGAGACGCAAAACACACAAGGUUGACUUUUGUGCUACUGAAAAUUAAGUAUUAAUACAAGAUCAAAUGCCCGUCCCUGGGAAACACAAAAAGUCUGCUGCAGUUUUGCUUUGCUAAUCACGAGGUCACAGGUGAAUGGUGAAAGAGAACACUUCACGAAGCCUGCAAUGAGAGUCUGGAUAUGAAUCUUCGGUUCUUUGGACUCAGAGUAAAGACCCACCUGGGUAAUCUAUGGAAAUCAUGUUUCCUGAGCAGUCCCACUACACAGCAGAUCAGGUGGAGGACAUUGUGGAUAUCCAAGAUCCGAGAGGGACAUCGUGGAUAUAGCUAUCGUUUAGGAGGAUUUUGCUGGUAUACAGAGAUCUGCAUGGAGAAC